rnacentral:tRNA from 1 species
ACUGAAUUAUCAGUUGGUUAGAGUAUCCCUCUGAUAAGGGGAAGGUCAGUGGUUCGAGUCCACUAUUCAGUA